rnacentral:rRNA from 1 species
UUUGACCAAAAUCAGUCGUUGCUUGGUUUGUUGGCGAAUGAAUCUUUUGCGAGCUUUUGUUUGUGGAGAUGCGCGUUUGUUUCGAAUCAACGCACGGUGCACUUUUGGUCAAUCAGCGUCACGAGCAACGUUCGAUUUGUUCUGUGUGCCGACAGUGCUGCUGUUUGUUGCUCUUCAAAAAGCAACAAACAAUAAAGGCGGUUUGUGGAAGAGGUAAUUGUGGUAAAGACUUGUGCUUUUGUCUCAAUUGCCGUGCCAAUGCCGCAUCUGUCGGAUGAAUGUUGUUGUUGACAAGUUGAAGAGCAUUGUUCUGCGUACAAUUGUAAUGGGUCUGUUGGUGCCGUUGCGUUCGUGGGUUUCGGCUCACGAUUUGUCUGGUACGUCGGGAAAAAAGUCAAUUAUGAAUGUAAUUGAUCUGGCUACCGUGCGUAACGGUAUUCAAAUGUGUGUAUGAUGGACUUUAUUUGCAAUCGGCGCUCAAUGUGUUUUCUUUUAUCGGUGGCGUCAAUGUUAGCCUCCCAUCCGACCCGUCUUGAAACACGGACCAAGGAGUUCAGUAGGCACGCGAGUCGUUGACGUUUUUCAUUGAACAGUCGAAGGCGAAAUGAAAGUGUUCAUGAAAAUGAACAGUACUUUUCUAUGGAGUGCUGCUCGUUUUCAACAUGAUCGUCCUUUUUUGUGCUUAAUUGUGCAAAAUUGAUAGAUGGGGACGCGCAGUGUGGUGCCGUUGAAUAGUCGCACUGUUCUUUCUUUCUCUUCGGGGUUGGAGGAACAAUUGUCGAUCAGUCGGUUUCGGAGCGUGCACACUGGUACCCGAAAGAUGGUGAACUAUGCUUGAGCAGAAUGAAGCCAGAGGAAACUCUGGUGGAAGUUCGUAGCGGUGUUGACGUGCAAAUCACUCGUCUGACUUGAGUGUAGGGGCGAAAGACUAAUCGAACCAUCUAGUUGCUGGUUCCUUCCGAAGUUUCCCUCAGGAUAGCUGGCAUUUGUUUGUAACAAUUUUAUCCGGUAGAGCGAAUGAUUAGAGGUGUUGGGAACGCAAUGUUCUCAGCCUAUUCUCAAACUUCGAAUGGGUAAGCAAGGCGUUUUGCUUUGAUUUUACGAUGAAAUCGCCCAAUUAGAAUGCAUAAAUGCCUAGUGGGCCAAUUUUGGUAAGCAGAACUGGCGAUGUGGAAUGAACCAAAAGUCAGGUUAAGGUGCCAGACAUUGGCGCUCAUGAAAUACCAGAAAAGGUGUUGGUCGAUAUAGACAGCAGGACGGUGGCCAUGGAAGUUGGAAUCCGCCAAGGAGUGUGUAACAACUCACCUGCCGAAUCGACUAGCCCUGAAAAUGGAUAGCGUUUGAGCGCCAGGCCCAUACCUGACCGUCUCAAUUACGCACUUUUUUCUUUUUUGAAAAAGGUGUAAUGAACGUUGAGACGGGUAGGAAGGUCGCGACAGUGUUGCUUUGAAGAGUUUUGAGCGUGAGCUCGCUCGGAGCCGCUGUUGGUGCAGAUCUUGGUGGUAGUAGCAAAUAUUCAAGUGAGAACCUUGAAGGCUGAAGUGGAGCAAGGUUCCAUGUGAACAGCAGUUGGACAUGGGUCAGUCGAUCCUAAGAAAACGGCGAAAGCUUGUUCGAAUUUGCGACAUGAAUUGUAAGACUGUGUGUGUUUAUUGUGUGUGCGUGUGCAGUUGUCGUAUGUUUUCGAAAGGGAAUCCGGUUGAUAUUCCGGAACCGAGUAACGGAGACAAAGAGUAGCGCUUUAAUCUCUCUGUGGGGUUGGCGUUCAACUCAAUCGCGCGGUAACGCAAGCGAACUCGGAAAAUGACCGUCGUGAGUUUCGAAAAGAGUUUUCUUUUCUUUUUAAGGGACGCAUUCCCUGGAACCGGGUUGUCCGGAGAUAGGGAUUCUGGUAUCCAUAAAACGCCGACUUUUUCACGGUGUUCGGAGCGCUCUCGUCGGUACGUGAAAAUCCGAGCGACGCCUGGUAAAUCUCGUACUUGGUCGUACUGAUAUCCGCAGCAGGUCUCCAAGGUGAAUAGCCUCUGGCCGAUAGAAUAAUGUAGGUAAGGGAAGUCGGCAAAACGGAUCCGUAACUUCGGAACAAGGAUUGGCUCUAAGGGCUGGGCCGAUCGGGCUGAGGUUUCAAGCGUGCAGUGUAUGCUUGGCUGAGUUGUGUUGAGGACUUGUUCACUUGCCGCCGUUUGUUCGGUUGGUCUAGUGUAUUCGAGUCUGAAGCAGAGCUGGCCGACAGACCGGCACGUGCAGAACCUGAGCUGCGCGGCUGUCCGUUUACGUGUACAGACCGUUUCGGUCGGCAUUCAACAGCCAACUUAGAACUGGCACGGACACAAGGAAUCUGACUGUAUAAUUAAAACAAAGCAUUGCGAUGGCCGAUGAUCGGUGAUGACGCAAUGUGAUUUCUGCCCAGUGCUCUGAAUGUCAAAGUGAAGAAAUUCAAUCAAGCGCGGGUAAACGGCGGGAGUAACUAUGACUCUCUUAAGGUAGCCAAAUGCCUCGU